rnacentral:rRNA from 1 species
UACGAAGGGGGGCUAGCGUUGCUCGGAAUCACUGGGCGUAAAGCGCACGUAGGCGGGUCGUUAAGUCGGGGGUGAAAUCCCGGAGCUCAACUCCAGAACUGCCUUCGAUACUGGCGAUCUUGAGUCUGGGAGAGGUGAGUGGAACUCCGAGUGUAGAGGUGAAAUUCGUAGAUAUUCGGAAGAACACCAGUGGCGAAGGCGGCUCACUGGCCCGGUACUGACGCUGAGGUGCGAAAGCGUGGGGAGCAAACAGG